AUGAUGACAUGAGUAGCGACAAACAGGGUGAGAGACCCUGUCGCCGAAAGUCCAAGGGUUCCUGCUUAAAGCUAAUCUGAGCAGGGUAAGCCGGCCCCUAAGCCGAGGCCGAAAGGCGUAGGCGAUGGGAACCACGUUAAUAUUCGUGGGCCAGAUGGAAGUGACGGAUCUCGAAGAUUGUUCCUCCUUAUCGGAUUGGAGGGGCCGUUCAGAGGUUCCUGGAAAUAGCUCCAUCAUCAGACCGUACCCUAAACCGACACAGGUGGACUGGUAGAGAAUACCAAGGCGCUUGAGAGAACGAUGUUGAAGGAACUCGGCAAAAUACCUCCGUAAGUUCGCGAGAAGGAGGCCCGGUUCCUAGGCAACUAGGGGCUGGGGGCACAAACCAGGGGGUGGCGACUGUUUACUAAAAACACAGGGCUCUGCGAAGUCGCAAGACGACGUAUAGGGUCUGACGCCUGCCCGGUGCCUGAAGGUUAAAAGGAGGGGUGAGAGCUCUGAAUUGAAGCCCAGGUAAACGGCGGCCGUAACAAUAACGGU
rnacentral:rRNA from 1 species